AACGAACGCUGGCGGCAUGCCUAACACAUGCAAGUCGAACGGGAUCCUGGUUUCGGCCAGGUGAGAGUGGCGGACGGGUGAGUAACGCGUGGGAACCUGCCCAGUGGUGGGGGAUAACUGCGGGAAACUGCAGCUAAUACCGCAUGAGCCCGAAAGGGGAAAGAUUGAUCGCCAUUGGAGGGGCCCGCGUUCGAUUAGGUAGUUGGUGAGGUAACGGCUCACCAAGCCUUCGAUCGAUAGCUGGUCUGAGAGGAUGAUCAGCCACACUGGGACUGAGAUACGGCCCAGACUCCUACGGGAGGCAGCAGUGGGGAAUAUUGGACAAUGGGGGCAACCCUGAUCCAGCAAUGCCGCGUGAGUGAUGAAGGCCUUCGGUUGUAAAG
rnacentral:rRNA from 1 species